UCGAGGAUCUUCGGCAAUGGGCGAAAGCCUGACCGAGCGACGCCGCGUGGGCGAUGAAGGCCUUCGGGUUGUAAAGCCCUGUCGAGGGGGAGAAAAGCGCAAGCUUGAUCUAUCCCUGGAGGAAGCACGGGCUAAGUUCGUGCCAGCAGCCGCGGUAAGACGAACCGUGCGAACGUUAUUCGGAAUCACUGGGCUUAAAGGGUGCGUAGGCGGGUUGCCAAGUCUGUGGUGAAAUCCUCCAGCUUAACUGGAGAACUGCCGUGGAUACUGGCGACCUCGAGGGGUGUAGGGGCUUGCGGAACUGUGCGUGGAGCGGUGAAAUGCGUUGAUAUGCACAGGAACUCCGGUGGCGAAAGCGGCGAGCUGGACACCUUCUGACGCUGAGGCACGAAAGCUAGGGGAGCGAACGG
rnacentral:rRNA from 1 species